AAAGAUCACGUCAAGAAGGUAAAACUAACCCCAACUCUCAUUUUAGAUUUUUUUUUUUUUGUCUUAUGCACAAAAUGUUAGAGCCUGCUAGUCAUCCAAAACCAGUUAUCCAAAAAUACAUAACUGCAUAAUAUGCUAUGAUAACCUGUCUCAAACAAAAUAGCAGUACAAAAUUAUUAUCAUUAGAAAUGAUUGUAAUGCAACUCUUGCUAAAAUUGAAAACAAAGAUUAUGGUCCUAUCAUUUCAACUGCCCUCCCCGGCUUUUUUGUUUGCUAUUGUUUUAGAAUGCUUAAAUGAUCAUCAGUGAGAUCUUCAACAGUCAUGGUUUACAAAAACAUCAACCUCAGCUUGAGUUGCAUGACUUGCAUUUAAAUAUUAGUCUUGCAUGAAUGAUGGUGAACAUUAAUUAGCUGUCAACUGCACUUGCACCAGAGUCUCAUUGUGUUUCUGUCCCCAGGUUUCAGCCUAAUUUCCCUCUGAGUUUGAGAAAGGCAAUGGAUUUGAGCUGAUUAGUUCUCAUGGUAUAAUCCAGUGAACAUAUUUUUAAGACCACAGAUGACUUACAGAGCCUGGCAGCCUAAUGGUUUGGGAUUUUACUCACAGAGCCUGGCAGCCUAAUGGUUUGGGAUUUUACUCACAGAGCCUGGCAGCCUAAUGGUUUGGGAUUUUACUCAAGGUUUGACAAUCGGUUUGUUAGAAAUGAGGAUAGGAGAAUGUGCUGGUCAGUCACCUAGGAAUAAUAAAGCGCCUUGGAAUAAGACAAUUGUCCAGAGGAAGAACUUUUGAGCCUACAGUACAUUGAACAUAAUUGGUUAAUUUACUGUCUGGUUUGGAGCAGAACUGUUAGGAGUAUACUCCUGGAGUACAGUAUGAGGGGCCAAGUUAGAAUAGUAUGGUCCUGUUGCUUGUUAAAUUUCCUUGACAUUACUACCUCAAUUUUACAUUGUCCACAUUGUUAUGAAAAUGUAGUUCUUUGUAAUGUCUUUAAUGUUUUUGCUUUUACAACUAUGUCAAAUGCUGCCUUACCAUUAAAGUCUAUAGGCCAAUAUUAACAGAAUCAUGGGUUAUUUUAAUAAUUUUUAAAUGAGCAUUAUUGAACUUGUCCCCACAAUGUAAAUGUCUGUCUGAGCAUUUUAAAGUUCUCCCCAGGAAUAAACGUUAACUAUUUGGUUGUGAUUAAAAUGAUUGGGCCAUUACAAAAUUUUCAGCCUAGUUACUUCCACUAACUUUGAGCUAGCUUUGUCAAGUUAACUGACACGUAAUGUUUGUCUUGGGGGGGAAAACCGAACCAUUGAUUUGUUUUUUGGCCCAUAUGCUACUUUAAGGGUGAGGACAUUACUUCAAGUGAUUGUCU
ensembl:lncRNA